GCCAACGGCCAUAGCGUGCUGGUCACACCGGUUCCCGUACGAUCACCGAAGUUAAGCAGCAUCGGGUGGUGCAACUUGGAUGGGUGACCGUUAUAA
rnacentral:rRNA from 1 species